rnacentral:rRNA from 1 species
AUGAGGAUGAGAGAAGCUGGAGCGUGCAAGUGGAAGCAAAAGGAGAAGAGCUGCAGUUUAGAGGUGAUCGAGCGAGUGCUACAUCAUCAAAGCCCGAAAAGUGCGAUGAGGCACUAUAAUCGUCAAGAGUCCAUCCAUGUGGCUAUUGAGAAGAGAGAAGAGCAGGAAAGAAGUGAAGAAAGGGACAUGAGCAUCAAGGAAAGAAGAAAUCGGGGGCCAAAACUUAAGAUGGAGGGGAUCUACUUGGGAAGAAAGAAGGAAAGGAGAAGGGCCAAAUCAAAAAAGUGGCAGACUAGAGGAGGGGUCAAAAUCCCUAGCAGCAGCCCCGAUCCCCUUUAG